CACGUAGGGUGCGAGCGUUGUCCGGAAUUAUUGGGCGUAAAGAGCUCGUAGGCGGUGUGUCACGUCGGCUGUGAAAACCCGAGGCUCAACCUCGGGCCUGCAGUCGAUACGGGCAAACUAGAGUACUGCAGGGGAGACUGGAAUUCCUGGUGUAGCGGUGAAAUGCGCAGAUAUCAGGAGGAACACCGGUGGCGAAGGCGGGUCUCUGGACGAGUUCCUGA
rnacentral:rRNA from 1 species